rnacentral:rRNA from 1 species
UACGUAGGGGGCAAGCGUUGCUCGGAAUUACUGGGCGUAAAGCGCACGUAGGCGGAUUGUUAAGUCGGGGGUGAAAUCCUGGAGCUCAACUCCAGAACUGCCUUCGAUACUGGCGAUCUCGAGUUCGGGAGAGGUGAGUGGAACUGCGAGUGUAGAGGUGAAAUUCGUAGAUAUUCGCAAGAACACCAGUGGCGAAGGCGGCUCACUGGCCCGAUACUGACGCUGAGGUGCGAAAGCGUGGGGAGCAAACAGG